rnacentral:rRNA from 1 species
AGCGAACGCUGGCGGCAGGCUUAACACAUGCAAGUCGAGCGGGCACUUUCGGGUUUCCGCGGCGGACGGGUGAGUAACGCGUGGGAACGUGCCCUCUGGUUCGGAAUAACUCAGGGAAACUUGAGCUAAUACCGGAUACUCCCUUUUGGGGAAAGGCUUGCUGCCGGAGGAUCGGCCCGCGUCUGAUUUGCUAGUUGGUGAGGUAACGGCUCACCAAGGCGACGAUCAGUAGCUGGUCUGAGAGGAUGAUCAGCCACACUGGGACUGAGAUACGGCCCAGACUCCUACGGGAAGCAGCAGUGGGGAAUAUUGGACAAUGGGCGCAAGCCUGAUCCAGCCCUGCCGCGUGAGUGAUGAAGGCCUUAGGGUUGUAAAGCUCUUUUAUCCGGGACGAUAAUGACGGUACCGGAGGAAUAAGCCCCGGCUAACUUCGUG